GAUGAACGCUGGCGGCGUGCCUAAUACAUGCAAGUCGAGCGAACAGACGAGGAGCUUGCUCCUCUGACGUUAGCGGCGGACGGGUGAGUAACACGUGGAUAACCUACCUAUAAGACUGGGAUAACUUCGGGAAACCGGAGCUAAUACCGGAUAAUAUAUUGAACCGCAUGGUUCAAUAGUGAAAGACGGUUUUGCUGUCACUUAUAGAUGGAUCCGCGCCUCAUUAGCUAGUUGGUAAGGUAACGGCUUACCAAGGCAACGAUGCGUAGCCGACCUGAGAGGGUGAUCGGCCACACUGGAACUGAGACACGGUCCAGACUCCUACGGGAGGAAGCAGUAGGGAAUCUUCCGCAAUGGGCGAAAGCCUGACGGAGCAACGCCGCGUGAGUGAUGAAGGUCUUCGGAUCGUAAAACUCUGUUAUUAGGGAAGAACAAAUGUGUAAGUAACUAUGCACGUCUUGACGGUACCUAAUCAGAAAGCCACGGCUAACUACGUG
rnacentral:rRNA from 1 species